rnacentral:rRNA from 1 species
UGGGGAAUUGUUCGCAAUGGGCGCAAGCCUGACGACGCAACGCCGCGUGGAGGAUGAAGAUCUUCGGGUCGUAAACUCCUUUCGAUCGAGAAGAAUUCCUUCCGGGUGAACAAUCCGGGAGGUUGACGGUACCGAGAGAAGAAGCCCCGGCUAACUCCGUGCCAGCAGCCGCGGUAAUACGGGGGGGGCAAGCGUUGUUCGGAAUUACUGGGCGUAAAGGGCUCGUAGGCGGCCAACUAAGUCAGACGUGAAAUCCCCCGGCUUAACCGGGGAACUGCGUCUGAUACUGGAUGGCUAGAGUGUGGGAGAGGGAUGCGGAAUUCCAGGUGUAGCGGUGAAAUGCGUAGAUAUCUGGAGGAACACCGGUGGCGAAGGCGGCAUCCUGGACCAUAACUGACGCUGAAUAGCGAAAGCCAGGGGAGCAAACGGGAUUAGAUACCCCCGUAGUCC